UACGGAGGGGACUAGCGUUGUUCGGAAUUACUGGGCGUAAAGCGCACGUAGGCGGAUAUUUAAGUCAGGGGGUGAAAAUCCCGGGGCUCAACCCCGGAACUGCCUUUGAUACUGGGUAUCUCGAGUCCGAGAGAGGUGAGUGGAAUUCCGAGUGUAGAGGUGAAAUUCGUAGAUAUUCGGAGGAACACCAGUGGCGAAGGCGGACUCACUGGCUCGGUACUGACGCUGAGGUGCGAAAGCGUGGGGAGCAACAGG
rnacentral:rRNA from 1 species